rnacentral:rRNA from 1 species
GACGAACGCUGGCGGCGUGCUUAACACAUGCGAGUCGAACGGAAAGGCCCUGCUUGCAGGGUGCUCGAGUGGCGAACGGGUGAGUAACACGUGGGUGAUCUGCCCCUUAUUUUGGGAUAAGCCUGGGAAACUGGGUCUAAUACUGGAUAGGACCAUGCUGUAGGUGGUGUGGUGGAAAGAUUAGUUUCGGUAGGGGAUGAGCUCGCGGCCUAUCAGCUUGUUGGUGGGGUAAUGGCCUACCAAGGCGUCGACGGGUAGCCGGCCUGAGAGGGUGGACGGCCACAUUGGGACUGAGAUACGGCCCAGACUCCUACGGGAGGCAGCAGUGGGGAAUAUUGCACAAUGGGCGCAAGCCUGAUGCAGCGACGCCGCGUGGGGGAUGACGGCCUUCGGGUUGUAAACUCCUUUCAGCCAUGACGAAGCCCUUGUGGUGACGGUAGUGGUAGAAGAAGCACCGGCUAACUACGUG